rnacentral:rRNA from 1 species
AAUGAACGCUGGCGGCGUGCUUAACACAUGCAAGUCGAGCGAUGAAGUUUCCUUCGGGAAACGGAUUAGCGGCGGACGGGUGAGUAACACGUGGGUAACCUGCCUCAUAGAGUGGAAUAGCCUUUCGAAAGGAAGAUUAAUACCGCAUAAUGUUGAAAGAUGGCAUCAUCAUUUAACCAAAGGAGCAAUCCGCUAUGAGAUGGACCCGCGGCGCAUUAGCUAGUUGGUGGGGUAACGGCCUACCAAGGCGACGAUGCGUAGCCGACCUGAGAGGGUGAUCGGCCACAUUGGGACUGAGACACGGCCCAGACUCCUACGGGAGGCAGCAGUGGGGAAUAUUGCACAAUGGGGGAAACCCUGAUGCAGCAACGCCGCGUGAGUGAUGAAGGUUUUCGGAUCGUAAAGCUCUGUCUUUGGGGAAGAUAAUGACGGUACCCAAGGAGGAAGCCACGGCUAACUACGUGCCAGCCGCCGCCGUAACAC